rnacentral:rRNA from 1 species
AUUGAACGCUGGCGGCAGGCUUAACACAUGCAAGUCGAGCGAGCGGCGGACGGGUGAGUAAUGUCUGGGAAACUGCCUGAUGGAGGGGGAUAACUACUGGAAACGGUAGCUAAUACCGCAUACCAUCGGAUGUGCCCAGAUGGGAUUAGCUAGUAGGUGGGGUAAUGGCUCACCUAGGCGACGAUCUCUAGCUGGUCUGAGAGGAUGAUCAGCCACACGGGGACUGAGACACGGUCCAGACUCCUACGGGAGGCAGCAGUGGGGAAUAUUGCACAAUGGGCGCAAGCCUGAUGCAGCCAUGCCGCGUGUGUGAAGAAGGCCUUAGGGUUGUAAAGCACUUUCAGCGAGGAGGCGUUACUCGCAGAAGAAGCACCGGCUAACUCCGUGCCAGCAGCCGCGGUAAUAC